UGGAUUUCGAAACUAAAGAAGCUAAGCGAUGUGUGGCUGUUUCUGGCCUACCGCAAAGUCGAAAACUCAAUCAGGAAAUAAGCGUGUAGAAAGUUUUUUAGUUGCUUGUUUGGACGGGAGUUCGACUCUCCCCGACUCCACUA
rnacentral:tmRNA from 1 species